AUCACGUUGCUAGAAGAAAAUCUCAUGCCAGAGCUUGGACCAUCCCUAGCUCAGAGGUUAGGGGUUGUCUCUUGGUGACCUACAUGAAAAAAUAGGUCCAGAUCAGAGUUCCUGAUGCAGAGCACUCAUCCACUCUUUCAAUCGUUGGAGGAGAGGCCUGGUUUUAGGUAAACCUAACCUCUUUGAGGAACCACAGAGCCCAAGACUGGAAACCUUCAGAAUCUGCUGGCCCCCAACCCUCCCUGGGGACCCCUGUGGCCUGUCUCACCAGAGCACUCUUCUGUCUGUAGAUGUCUCAGCGGCUCUACAAGGGAGUCCCAUUUCAGGUGUGGGGCUGGGCAUGGUCACUCCUGCUGGAUGUCUAGAAGAUGGAAACUAAGGACCUAGGAAAAUGCCAGAUACAGCCUUUCCACCCUCAUCCAGAGCAGGACAAACAGGCCAGGUGGUGUCAGGAGCCCAGGUCUCCAGCUGGAGGGAACGUCAACCCUGCAGUGGGAGCAGGGGCCCAUCGCACAUCCUAGGCACAGAUGCUAAUGUAGGCACUGCAGCCUUACCCUGUAGGAAUUCUAGUGACUAUGUUGCCACCAUCUUGGAGCUCCAUGCCCUCAUAGUGUAAUGGCACCAGCAGAUCUGCCUGUGCAUGGACUUCCUGUACUACCUCACUCCUGAGGGGAGAUGUUUCUGCAGGGCCUAUGACCUGGUGCACAACUUUAGACACCAUCAUCCUGGAGCAGCACUGCACCCUCACUAGCCAGAGUGUUGACAUCCUCAAGGCCAGGGCCACAUUCAAGACUUUGGACUUCAUUGAUGCACUUGUGCUGAGCAAGAUCCUGGUCAGAGUAAAACAUUCCAUGGGAACUCGGGCUGUGAGAAACAUCCUAACCACCUGACUGCAGAAACAUCCUUAUCACAUCCUGCUGGGCAAGGGCCCAACAGCCUGACUUCAGGAACAUCCUUAUCAUCUUCUACUGAGCAGCAAGCUAUACUGUCCAGAGCCCUCCCUCCCAGCCCCAUGAUUACCCCAGCCUGUAAGUGGCAGUGGGCGCUGACACUAAGCUGGUUUCCCCCUCCGCAGGGUUUUGCUAGUAAUAAACCUGUGUUGCUGUUGAA
ensembl:lncRNA CYP4F26P cytochrome P450 family 4 subfamily F member 26, pseudogene